rnacentral:misc_RNA from 1 species
AGAAAAAUUGCAGCUAUCUGGCUUUGUGUCUCCACAAGUCAGUGGUAUGAGCAGCUUUAUUGAUAAAUCUGCUGAUGGCAUUCCUUUGUACUAUUUUAAGGAGGAUAACAAGAGACCAGCUGGCACUGGUGUAGCAGCCUCUGAUUCCUCAUUUCCAUAUACAUCAUUUGGAUUUGGUUCUUCAUCCUUGCCUUGGAUUGAUCCUGUGAACAAAUCAUUUAACUUGGCUAAUUCAGUUCCAGCACCUAAGCUUGUGUCAGGUUCAAUAAGCAUUGGCAAUAGCUCCACACUGUUGCGUAGAGUUGUACAUGAAGUGGAAGACAGGGAAGCUGAUCAAACAGCAUAUGUGAGUAACAAAUUUCAGGACAUUGGAUCUGGUACAUCUAAAAUGGGUUCCCUAACAAUGGAAGACAACACAGCCGCAACAGAUAGAACUGAUUUGUCAUCUUUUGCCAGAACAUCCAUGAUUACAGAUUCAGGAUGGAGGCCUCGUGGGGUUUUGGUUGCUCAUCUCCAAGAGCACCGUUCUGCUGUUAAUGAUAUAUCCAUUUCAGCAGACCACAGCUUUUUUGUUAGUGCAUCUGACGAUUCUACUGUUAAGGUUUGGGAUUCGAAAAAGCUAGAGAAGGAUAUCUCAUUCAGGUCAAGGUUAACUUAUUCUUUAGAAGGAAGCCGAGCUUUAUGUGUUACAGUGCUUCAAGGUUCUGCUCAAGUUGUUGUUGGAGCAUGUGAUGGAACAAUACAUAUGUUCUCGGUUGAUUAUAUCUCCCGAGGACUCGGUAAUGUUGUCGAGAAGUACUCUGGUAUUGCUGAUGUGAAGAAGAAUGAAGUGGGAGAGGGUGCUGUUGCAAGCCUUUUGAACUACUGUUCAGAUGGUGGUGCCUCAAAAAUGAUUUUGUACAGCACUCAGAAUUGUGGGCUCCAUCUGUUGGACACAAGAACAAAUUCACAUGCCUGGAACACCAAAGUUUAUCCCAAAGAGGGCUAUAUAUCAUCUCUAGUUGCAGGGCCUUGUGGAAAUUGGUUUGUAUCAGGUUCCUCAAGAGGUGUACUUACACUUUGGGAUUUGAGGUUUUGCAUACCGGUGAACACAUGGCAAUAUUCUCUUGCCUGCCCAAUUGAGAGAAUGUCUCUUUUUCUUCCUCCUCCUAGUACAUCAUUGUCUGUAGCAGCAAGGCCCCUUGUUUAUGUUGCCGCAGGGUGUAAUGAAGUUUCUCUCUGGAAUGCAGAGAACGGGAGCUGCCACCAGGUUUUGAGGGUAGCAAACAAUGAGAAUGAGGCUGAGAACUCCGACUUACCUUGGGCUUUAGCGAAGCCAUCAAAUAAGGCUAAUCCUAAACAAGAUCUAAGAAGAAAUAAUGGUUCAAAGUACCGAGUUGAUGAAUUGAGUGAUCCGCCUCCUCGCCUUUCUGGAAUUCGUGCUUUGCUUCCAUUACCUGGUGGUGAUUUGUUAACAGGGGGUACUGACUUAAAAAUACGUCGCUGGGACCAUUGCAGCCCGGAACGAAGUUAUUGCGUUUGCGGACCAUCUAUAAAGGGGGUUGUUAAUGAUGACUUUUAUGAGACAAAAUCCAGCUUUGGCGUACAAAUAGUGCAGGAGGCGAAGAGGCGACCUUUGGCCACCAGACAGACAGCAAAGGCAAUCCUCGGAGCUGCUGCCGUCGAUGCAGCUGGGUGUCACCGUGAUUGUAUUCUCUCUUUGGCUUCUGUCAAAUUGAAUCAGAGACUUCUGCUAUCAGGUAGCAGAGACGGAGCUGUUAAGGUUUGGAAGUAAAGUAACCUUGAGAUACUUGUAUAUAUAUUAUUGUGUAUAUAUUCAGAGUAUAUGUAGCCUCUUUACUAUUUAAAAAUAUUAAUUAAAAUGUACAGAACAUGGCUUCUCUUGUGUUUU